GGACGGGAGCCGGAUACGGAUCGCCGGGUCGCUUUGCUAAAGCGAUGACCCUCGCGGGCAUGUGGGUUCGAAUCCCACCCCCUCCG
rnacentral:tRNA from 1 species